rnacentral:misc_RNA from 1 species
GUCGAGGCGUGCACAGUCGCGCUCACGCAAUUCCGCUCAGUGGCACGCCACCCAGAGCUCGUGCAGAGAAGAGAGUGGGCACGUUGGGUGCGAACUGUUGCCGGAUUGCCGCUGCGCGCACCGCCUUUUCGUACUGUUUUCGCUGUCAUACAGUCUCCCCAGCUGCGGCGUCGCCUUGCCUCGCCUCGCCCCUUUUCUCUCCAACACACCACCUCUUCAUGGACUACGAGGCCGCGGUGGCGCGCCUCUCCUCGCCCACCUUGUUCGCUAUCCUCCACGCGGCCUUCGGCGGCGCCAGCGAGCACGAGGCAGCCGUUUCAGCGGAAGCGGUGCGGAAGCCGUUCUGGGCAGGCUUUUCGGUAGGCUUCGCGCUCACCUUUGCUGCGGCGCUUGUGGCCAUGAAGGGCUUUUUGGCGUCGCUGUUCCGCCGGCCGUUGGAGAAGUGCCGGCCGCUGCGCAGCCUCGUUGCGACCGGUGAGCCGGUGAAGAUGGCGCUUGUCGUCCGGAAGGAUCUCAAAAUGAGCAACGGCAAGAUCGCCGCGCAGUGCGCGCAUGCCGCGGUGGCCAUCGUCGAGGAAAUUCUGGCCUUCAAGUCAACCACGACGACAAGCCCGCGGUCAGCCCUAAACCCCGCGUCCGCGUUGUGGGUACAGUGGUAUGACGCGUGGAACGCCAGCGGCUGCUCGAAGGUAGCUCUGCAGUGUCCCGAUGAGGCCGCCAUGAUGGCGCUAGCGAAGCACGCGCGGCAGAUGAACCUGCCUCACUACGUCAUCCGGGACGCCGGCCGCACGCAGGUGGCGCCGGGUAGCAAGACCGUCGUAGCCGUCGGGCCGGGGCCGAAGAGUUUGGUGGACGAGGUGACUGGGCAGCUGAAGCUACUCUGAUGGAGGGCACACGUGUGCGCACGCAUGUGCAUCCGCUGACUGGAUUCGAGCUGCUUGGCGGACCUCGUGAGGAUGACGAGGGAAAGGGGAGAGGAGGUGUCGUGAUUUGGAACAGCGGUCGCGGCGAAGCAGCCGCAAGUGUG